UUAAGCGACUAAGCGUACACGGUGGAUGCCCUGGCAGUCAGAGGCGAUGAAGGACGUGCUAAUCUGCGAAAAGCGUCGGUAAGGUGAUAUGAACCGUUAUAACCGGCGAUGUCCGAAUGGGGAAACCCAGUGCAAUUCGUUGCACUAUCGUUAACUGAAUACAUAGGUUAACGAGGCGAACCGGGGGAACUGAAACAUCUAAGUACCCCGAGGAAAAGAAAUCAACCGAGAUUCCCCCAGUAGCGGCGAGCGAACGGGGAGCAGCCCAGAGUCUGAAUCAGCUUGUGUGUUAGUGGAACGGUCUGGAAAGUCCGACGGUACAGGGUGAUAGUCCCGUACACCAAAAUGCACAGGUUGUGAACUCGAAGAGUAGGGCGGGACACGUGGUAUCCUGUCUGAAUAUGGGGGGACCAUCCUCCAAGGCUAAAUACUCCUGACUGACCGAUAGUGAACCAGUACCGUGAGGGAAAGGCGAAAAGAACCCCGGCGAGGGGAGUGAAAAAGAACCUGAAACCGUGUACGUACAAGCAGUGGGAGCACCUUCGGGUGUGACUGCGUACCUUUUGUAUAAUGGGUCAGCGACUUAUAUUCUGUAGCAAGGUUAACCGUAUAGGGGAGCCGCAGGGAAACCGAGUCUUAACUGGGCGUUAAGUUGCAGGGUAUAGACCCGAAACCCGGUGAUCUAGCCAUGGGCAGGUUGAAGGUUGGGUAACACUAACUGGAGGACCGAACCGACUAAUGUUGAAAAAUUAGCGGAUGACUUGUGGCUGGGGGUGAAAGGCCAAUCAAACCGGGAGAUAGCUGGUUCUCCCCGAAAGCUAUUUAGGUAGCGCCUCGUGAAUUCAUCUUCGGGGGUAGAGCACUGUUUCGGCUAGGGGGUCAUCCCGACUUACCAACCCGAUGCAAACUACGAAUACCGAAGAAUGUUAUCACGGGAGACACACGGCGGGUGCUAACGUCCGUCGUGAAGAGGGAAACAACCCAGACCGCCAGCUAAGGUCCCAAAGUCAUGGUUAAGUGGGAAACGAUGUGGGAAGGCACAGACAGCCAGGAUGUUGGCUUAGAAGCAGCCAUCAUUUAAAGAAAGCGUAAUAGCUCACUGGUCGAGUCGGCCUGCGCGGAAGAUGUAACGGGGCUAAACCAUGCACCGAAGCUGCGGCAGCGACACUAUGUGUUGUUGGGUAGGGGAGCGUUCUGUAAGCCUGCGAAGGUGNUGCUGGAGGUAUCAGAAGUGCGAAUGCUGACAUAAGUAACGAUAAAGCGGGUGAAAAGCCCGCUCGCCGGAAGACCAAGGGUUCCUGUCCAACGUUAAUCGGGGCAGGGUGAGUCGACCCCUAAGGCGAGGCCGAAAGGCGUAGUCGAUGGGAAACAGGUUAAUAUUCCUGUACUUGGUGUUACUGCGAAGGGGGGACGGAGAAGGCUAUGUUAGCCGGGCGACGGUUGUCCCGGUUUAAGCAUGUAGGCUGGUUGUCCAGGCAAAUCCGGAUAAUCAAGGCUGAGGUGUGAUGACGAGGCACUACGGUGCUGAAGUAACAAAUGCCCUGCUUCCAGGAAAAGCCUCUAAGCAUCAGGUAACAUCAAAUCGUACCCCAAACCGACACAGGUGGUCAGGUAGAGAAUACCAAGGCGCUUGAGAGAACUCGGGUGAAGGAACUAGGCAAAAUGGUGCCGUAACUUCGGGAGAAGGCACGCUGGUGUGUAGGUGAAGUCCCUGCGGAUGGAGCUGAGACCAGUCGAAGAUACCAGCUGGCUGCAACUGUUUAUUAAAAACACAGCACUGUGCAAACACGAAAGUGGACGUAUACGGUGUGACGCCUGCCCGGUGCCGGAAGGUUAAUUGAUGGGGUUAUCCGUAAGGAGAAGCUCUUGAUCGAAGCCCCGGUAAACGGCGGCCGUAACUAUAACGGUCCUAAGGUAGCGAAAUUCCUUGUCGGGUAAGUUCCGACCUGCACGAAUGGCGUAAUGAUGGCCAGGCUGUCUCCACCCGAGACUCAGUGAAAUUGAACUCGCUGUGAAGAUGCAGUGUACCCGCGGCAAGACGGAAAGACCCCGUGAACCUUUACUAUAGCUUGACACUGAACAUUGAGCCUUGAUGUGUAGGAUAGGUGGGAGGCUUUGAAGCGUGGACGCCAGUCUGCGUGGAGCCAACCUUGAAAUACCACCCUUUAAUGUUUGAUGUUCUAACGUUGGCCCCUGACCGGGGUUGCGGACAGUGUCUGGUGGGUAGUUUGACUGGGGCGGUCUCCUCCCAAAGCGUAACGGAGGAGCACGAAGGUUAGCUAAUCCUGGUCGGACAUCAGGAGGUUAGUGCAAUGGCAUAAGCUAGCUUGACUGCGAGCGUGACGGCGCGAGCAGGUGCGAAAGCAGGUCAUAGUGAUCCGGUGGUUCUGAAUGGAAGGGCCAUCGCUCAACGGAUAAAAGGUACUCCGGGGAUAACAGGCUGAUACCGCCCAAGAGUUCAUAUCGACGGCGGUGUUUGGCACCUCGAUGUCGGCUCAUCACAUCCUGGGGCUGAAGUAGGUCCCAAGGGUAUGGCUGUUCGCCAUUUAAAGUGGUACGCGAGCUGGGUUUAGAACGUCGUGAGACAGUUCGGUCCCUAUCUGCCGUGGGCGCUGGAGAAUUGAGGGGGGCUGCUCCUAGUACGAGAGGACCGGAGUGGACGCAUCACUGGUGUUCGGGUUGUCAUGCCAAUGGCACUGCCCGGUAGCUAAAUGCGGAAGAGAUAAGUGCUGAAAGCAUCUAAGCACGAAACUUGCCCCGAGAUGAGUUCUCCCUGAGACUUUAAGUCUCCUGAAGGAACGUUGAAGACGACGACGUUGAUAGGCCGGGUGUGUAAGCGCAGCGAUGCGUUGAGCUAACCGGUACUAAUGAACCGUGAGGCUUAACCUU
rnacentral:rRNA from 1 species